UUGUAGUAUAUGUUUGAAAUUAGGCGUAUACUUCAAGUUGAAGCAAGUUUUGUUGAGUAAUGUAACAUGAUUUAGGGCUUUUACAUGGAGUUGCUAGUCUGUUACGGGUGGGACACAAAUUCUAGUCUGUUCCAAUGUUAUUAAGCUAAGUGUAUGCAGAGUUUUGUAAGUGUAUUCUCUUUGCAACAAUUUGUCAGUUGAGUUUUGUAGAUGGCACUACAUUGUGAAUAUAUCAUAAAUAGUGUGUAAACAAUACAAAGAGCAUAGUUAAAACAUUAUGUAUGGUUAAAUGUUCAGUCAUGUUUGCAUAUCUAUCAAUUCGUCUUUUACUCCAGGCCAGUGAUGACUUUUGUUUCUAUAUUCUCCUUGUCACUGUCACUGGUCUUCGCUGUCUGAGUCCAAUUCAAUUUCCGGCUCUUUCGUUUCAGCAAUCUCUCUGCAAAUGGACCAGAAGUACACCCUGGUCCACAGCCACAGUAAUAAUGGCUGUAUCCCACUGCUGCUAACAUUUAGAAAUGCUUAAAAACUCGCUAUUAUGUGGCAAAUAACGGUAUACUAAAUAAGCUGGGUAGGUUAGCUGAGCUUCUCUACAGUGGGGUAAGCAUAUACAGUGGUCUGUUCAGGCAAUUCCUGAUUAAAAAAAUUUUUGACCUGUAAUAUUAGCAUAUUUUUCGUACCACACAGAAUACAAGUACGACUGAUUUGGACGAUACUUGGAAUGUAUUGAGGAGGACAUCUGUUGGAUGUAAUACACAAAACUUAUUGUGUGCUCACAUCUCUCCAACUAGUACUAUUUUGUGGUUUUUUAUAUAGCAUUUUCAACGAUGCAUUUCUCGACUCUCAAUGGAUCGACACGAAAAAGUUAAACAAUUACGUAUAGAUGUUCAUCAAUCCUAUAAGAUAGCACUGAACAUGUUCAAAUUCAUCUCAUAUUUUUGCAACAAUUUG